UACAGAGGUCUCAAGCGUUGUUCGGAUUCAUUGGGCGUAAAGGGUGCGUAGGCGGCGCGGUAAGUCGGGUGUGAAAUCUCGGAGCUUAACUCCGAAACUGCAUUCGAUACUGCCGUGCUUGAGGACUGGAGAGGAGACUGGAAUUUACGGUGUAGCGGUGAAAUGCGCAGAUAUCAGGAGGAACACCUAUUGCGAAGGCAGCUCGCUGGGACGUAACUGACGCUGAGACGCGAAAGCGUGGGGAGCAAACAGG
rnacentral:rRNA from 1 species